GAUGAACGCUGGCGGCGUGCUUAACACAUGCAAGUCGAACGGAAAGGCCCAAGCUUGCUUGGGUACUCGAGUGGCGAACGGGUGAGUAACACGUGGGUGAUCUGCCCUGCACUUCGGGAUAAGCCUGGGAAACUGGGUCUAAUACCGGAUAGGACCACAUUUUGGAUGGUGUGGUGGAAAGUUUUUCGGUGUGGGAUGAGCUCGCGGCCUAUCGGCUUGUUGGUGGGGUAAUGGCCUACCAAGGCGUCGGCGGGUAGCCGGCCUGAGGGGGUGUACGGCCGCAUUGGGACUGAGAUACGGCCCAGACUCCUACGGGAGGCAGCAGUGGGGAAGAUUGCACAAUGGGCGCCAGCCUGAUGCAGCGACGCCGCGGGGGGGAUGACGGCCUUCGGGUUGUAAACUCCUUUCGCUAGGGACGAAGCGUUAUGUGACGGUACCUGGAGAAGAAGCACCGGCUAACUACGUG
rnacentral:rRNA from 1 species